AGAGUUUGAUCCUGGCUCAGAAUGAACGUUGGCGGCGUGGAUUAGGCAUGCAAGUCGCGCGUGUACCCGCAAGGGGAAAGCGGCGUAAGGGACAGUAAUACGUAGAUCACCUACCCUCGGAUUCGGGAUAGCUGCGGGAAACUGCAGGUAAUACCGAAUGACGUCUCCGGACCAAAGGUGUGAUUCCGUCCGAGGAUGGGUCUGCGUCCUAUUAGCUAGUUGGUAAGGUAAUGGCUUACCAAGGCAAUGAUGGGUAGUGGGUGUGAGAGCACGACCCGCGUCACUGGGACUGAGAUACUGCCCAGACACCUACGGGUGGCUGCAGUCGAGGAUCUUCGGCAAUGGGCGCAAGCCUGACCGAGCGACGCCGCGUGCGGGAUGAAGGCCUUCGGGUUGUAAA
rnacentral:rRNA from 1 species